rnacentral:rRNA from 1 species
UACGUAGGUGGCAAGCGUUGUCCGGAUUUACUGGGUGUAAAGGGCGUGCAGCCGGGCUGACAAGUCAGAUGUGAAAUCCCGCGGCUCAACCGCGGAACUGCAUUUGAAACUGUCAGUCUUGAGUACCGGAGAGGUCAUCGGAAUUCCUUGUGUAGCGGUGAAAUGCGUAGAUAUAAGGAAGAACACCAGUGGCGGAGGCGGAUGACUGGACGGCAACUGACGGUGAGGCGCGAAAGCGUGGGGAGCAAACAGG